UGGGGAAUAUUGGACAAUGGGGGAAACCCUGAUCCAGCGACGCCGCGUGGGUGAAGAAGGCCUGCGGGUUGUAAAGCCCUUUCGGUUGGGAAGAAAAGUUGCGACCUAACACGUCGCGACCUUGACGUAACCAACUAAAGAAGCACCGGCUAACUCUGUGCCAGCAGCCGCGGUAAUACAGAGGGUGCGAGCGUUAAUCGGAAUUACUGGGCGUAAAGCGCGCGUAGGCGGCUUGGCAAGUCGGGUGUGAAAUCCCCGGGCUCAACCUGGGAACUGCAUUCGAGACUGCUUCGCUAGAGUAUGGGAGAGGGAAGUGGAAUUUCCGGUGUAGCGGUGAAAUGCGUAGAUAUCGGAAGGAACAUCAGUGGCGAAAGCGACUUCCUGGACCAAUACUGACGCUCAUGUGCGAAAGCGUGGGGAGCAAACA
rnacentral:rRNA from 1 species